ensembl:lncRNA
CUUUGGGGGUCAGCUCUGUGGGAACUAACUGGAGUCUCAGAAGAACUUCCUCAGUUUCUUCUGAGGGCAUUUAACAAAACCACCUCCCACUGGGCUCCGCAUUUGAAAGGCUCUUUCACCUCAACACUGUUACAUUUAAAACCAAGCUUCCAAAACACAAACCUUUGGGGGACAAACCACAUCUACACUAUAGCAGUACUCAAAGUCACUUCCAUUGGUUUGCAGUUAUUGCCAUGAAGAAAACAUUCCUACUCCUGACUGCAUUUGCCAGAGAUGCCAAGAACACAAGUGAUUGUUCUGAUAUAGAAUGUCAGAUAUAACCGCACCCACUUGGCGGAUGUGCUAGAGAAGAGCAAAGUGCUUUGGCUGUGGGCUUGGCUUUCAUUCCCUUGCCAGGAUGUUGGGGUGAGAUGGGGCCAUGGUUGUGCAGACUGCAGAGGUGACAUUCACAUCACAGUCCACACAAAUGACCCUUUAGGGGUGGCAUCACCUGCUGCUCAGCCCUGCACAGAGGCCUGGGAUGUUCAGAAUUGCCACAGUACCCUCUUCAGGUUGUUCUUGGCAGGUGUGGGGUUUCUGCUGACCAGAAGUGCUGCUGGCAGGGCAGGCCCGGAAGGGGAUGCUGGGCAUGGUCCCUGCCAGGCUAAGCCUCUGGGAAGAUGCAGCAGUGCCAAACACAGACUACACAGGUCCCAAGUGCCUAAGAGAGACCUGUGCCUACCUGACUUCCUGCCCGCAGUCCUUCCUAUGUGACCGUGACCUUGCUAACUGAC